CGGUGAAAUGCGUAGAGAUCUGAAGGAAUACCAGUGGCGAAGGCGGCCCCCUGGACAGACACUGACACUCAGAUGCGAAAGCGUGGGGAGCAAACAGGAUUAGAUACCCUGGUAGUCCACGCCGUAAACGAUGUCUACUUGGAGGUUGUGGCCUUGAGCCGUGGCUUUCGGAGCUAACGCGUUAAGUAGACCGCCUGGGGAGUACGGUCGCAAGAUUAAAACUCAAAUGAAUUGACGGGGGCCCGCACAAGCGGUGGAGCAUGUGGUUUAAUUCGAUGCAACGCGAAGAACCUUACCUACUCUUGACAUCCAGAGAAGCCAGCGGA
rnacentral:rRNA from 1 species